GUCCAGGGGCGGGAAUCGAACCCUUAACCUUCUGCUUACCGGGCAGGUGCCAUGUCCACUAGGCUACCCUGGA